GUAGUCCACGCCGUAAACGAUGAGUGCUCGAUGCUGCCUCACUCUAGAGGCGGUGUCUAAGCUAACGCGUUAAGCACUCCACCUGGGGAGUACGCUCGCAAGGGUGAAACUCAAAGGAAUUGACGGGGGCCCGCACAAGCGGUGGAGCAUGUGGAUUAAUUCGAUGCAACGCGAAGAACCUUACCCAGGCUCGAACACCAGCUGACAGGCCCUGAAAGGGGCCCUCCUUCGGGCAGUUGGUGAGGUGCUGCAUGGCUGUCGUCAGUUCGUGUCGUGAGAUGUUGGGUUAAGUCCCGCAACGAACGCAACCCCUAUCGCUAGUUACCAGCGGGUUAUGCCGGGGACUCUAGCGAGACUGCCUGCGCAAGCAGUGA
rnacentral:rRNA from 1 species